UUUCUUUUCUCUCCACUUCUCUGUACCUUUCUUUCUUUCUUGCUUUCUCUCUCUCUCGCUUCUCCCUCGAUCUGCAUCGUCACCAUCACAGAAAGGAAAGAGCCCUGGCUGGAGAAGAGAAGAAAGGGAAGGAAGGGACAAAUCGCCACCGUUUCCCUCUACCCUCCCCAACCCACAAAAGGGAAAGAGAAAGAGAAAGAGAGCACUAAGAAUUUGUUACUAGCUUCUUUUGUGUUGACUGACACACACACACACACACACACAC
rnacentral:ribozyme from 11 species